AAAUCUGCAGUCCAAAUUAUUUUGAAGUAUACCUAAAGUCUACCUUGUCCUAACUGAUAAGUAUUCUUUAUUUAAAAAAUCAAGAACACAGUUCAAAAAUUUGAGUACACAUCUACAGUAGCAAUGGAACUUAAUGGAGGACUUCUGAACAGUCAUUGUAGACAUAUCAGCAAUAUUUAUUAGUUGUCCAGAAAUAGUAUGUAUUUCACAUAAGCAUAAAUAGCUUUAAUUUCUGACUAAUUCAGAAUGUGAUGGAUAAUGGAUGGGGGAUACUUGAAAAGACUGUACAUUAUAAUGAUAUUUUUUCUAACUAAUACCAUAAUCAGAUUCUGUCAGUGAUAUAAAAUACAUGAAAUAAUUCAGAGGAGUUUCUUGGGGAAAAAGUCAAUGAUAAGAAUUCUGAAUUAGACAAACUUUUCAUCUAAUGCUUCUAAGGUGAUUUUUUUUUUACUAACUUGCUUCAACUAUUCAAAAUAUUCUCAUCUUACUUAAAUAUUGAUCAAGUUUAGUUUAGGUAAUAAUUUCAUUGUUUAGCAUUAUAUAAUAAACAGGCACAUUCUUAAAUAAAAUCAUUAAUUUCUCUUAUACCAGUUAUACAGCAGUGCAAACUUCAAAUAAGAUUAGCUGAUUUUGAAUAAUUAAAAUGUUUUAUUGCAAACAUUUAAUUAUUGGAAAAAAGCCAGCCAGUUUAUUUGACUAUAAGAAGCAAACUAUGGUCUUGCAAGCAUAAUGCUAUCCAGUGACUAUAAAAAGAAAAUAUGCAUAAGUAUGCAAUUAUAUAAAUCACAAACAAUCCUAAAGAAAGGAUUGAAGAAAAAAAUAUCCUUCCUCUCUAUCCCAGUUAAUUAGCUUCAUAUUUUCAUAUUUAUAUUUUAUGUGCCUUUAGCAAGGUUUAUUUUUUCAUUUUGUAAUCUUUUGUACCUGCUGAUGAUACAUUAGGCUGGAUCUAAUUGGGAUCAAAUAGCUACAUGGAUAGUGUUUCUUUCCUGUUCAUUUUUCCAGUUUUUAUUCAGUCCACUGUGCUAUCUUGCAACAGUAUGAUGAAUUCAUUUAUAGAAAUGAUGGUGCUAAU